UACGGGAGGCAGCAGUGGGGAAUAUUGCACAAUGGGCGAAAGCCUGAUGCAGCUAUGCCGCGUGUAUGAAGAAGGCCUUAGGGUUGUAAAGUACUUUCAUCGGGGAGGAAAAAACAAAACUAAUAAUUUUAUUUCUUGACGUUACCCGAAAAAGAAGCACCGGCUAACUCCGUGCCAGCAGCCGCGGUAAUACGGAGGGUGCUAGCGUUAAUCAGAAUUACUGGGCGUAAAGAGCACGUAGGUGGUUUUUUUAAGUCAGAUGUGAAAUCCCUGGGCUUAACCUGGAAACUGCAUUUUGAAACUGAAAUACUAGAGUAUCGUAGAGGGAGGUAGAAUUCUAGGUGUAGCGGUGAAAUGCGUAGAUAUCUGGAGGAAUACCUGUGGCGAAAGCGGCCUCCUAAACGAAUACUGACACUGAGGUGCGAAAAGCGUGGGGAGCAAAACAGGGAUUAGGAUACC
rnacentral:rRNA from 1 species